rnacentral:rRNA from 1 species
UGGGGAAUAUUGGGCAAUGGGCGAAAGCCUGACCCAGCAACGCCGCGUGAAGGAAGAAGGUUUUCGGAUUGUAAACUUCUGUCCUCAGGGAAGAAGGAAGUGACGGUACCUGAGGAGGAAGCCCCGGCUAACUACGUGCCAGCAGCCGCGGUAAUACGUAGGGGGCGAGCGUUGGCCGGAAUGACUGGGCGUAAAGGGCGCGUAGACGGCUGUCUAAGUCUGGAGUGAAAGUCCUGCUUUCAAGGUGGGAAUUGCUUUGGAGACUGGAUGGCUUGAGUGCGGAAGAGGUAAGUGGAAUUCCCAGUGUAGCGGUGAAAUGCGUAGAGAUUGGGAGGAACACCAGUGGCGAAGGCGGUUCUCUGGACCUUUCCUGACGCUGAGAAGCGAAAGCGUGGGGAGCAAACAGG